CUGGGCGGGAGGCAGAGCCAAAACCGUAACAGCCAGAGCUAGAGACUCCGGCCUGGGGUUCUGGCUCUGUCCCGUAUCAGCUAGGAAACCCAGGGCAAGCUACUUAAACUCUCAGAGGCUCAGCUUUUUCAUGAGCAAACAGGAAAACAGGGCUAAUGAUUAGUCCUUGGCUUAAAAUACAUACCGCGUGUGAAAUUGCAGGUAUAUAAUAGAUUCACUAAAUGAGAGGACAAAUAAUGUAUGUUUUCUGAACCAUCUGAGGGCGAGUUAUCAACACUUACUCUCCAAUGCGUCAUCACCCCCAACACUCCUGUGUAUUUCCUGCAAAUAAGGAUCUUCUCCUACAUGGUCAGUCCGAACAACCUUCAGUCACAACUGAGAAGGUCACAUGGUGCAUCACUGCCGCUCAGUCUCCCCAAGCCCAGUGAUUUCUUCACAGUUAGGGAUCUGAGACCCGCAGUAUGGCAGUGACAAGAUCCAAGUCUUGGGACACCUAGCCAGGAGGGAAGAAUUUGAGGGAGAGGUGGAAAAUAUGCGAGGCUGAACUGACCUUCAAGGACAAGAAGGCUGUGUUCAGAUAGACAGAGUUUGUCUUCUGGGAGAGGAGUGGGCUUAUCCAGGAUGAUCCCAAAGGCAGAUUGAGGACCAGUGGGAGGACAUCCUGAGAAAGCAGAUCCAGCUUUAGGCAAGGAAGGACUUCGUAACAGGCAGAGAGCCCAUGUUGGAAACAAGCAGCUCUGCAAGGUGUGGGCCCACUGUCUGACUCCCUGCGGGGCUGCUGCCUUGGAAGAGCCUCCUGCUUAGAGAGGUUCUCCUGCCGCCAGCUGUCUCUCCUGAGUCCUGAGCACCACAUCUCUGGACCGUCUGGAGCCUCCCCUCCCUUGGCUUACUGCUCCCACCACCCUCUCUCUCCACCUUGCAAGAGACACUCUCCCUCAUCCUGGGUCAUCACCCUCUUUAGAGGCGCCGCCUGGCCACGAGGUUGGAUAUGGGGGGUGGGCAGGAUCUUGGCCUUACUUGAUGCAGUGCACACCUCCAACAGGCAUCAGAUGGAGUGCAGCCGGGAGCAAGAUUCUCAUAGCAAUUACAAAGAUUCACAAGAAAAUGUGCCCUCCACUACACAGCUGUAAUUUACAUGCUUUCAAACUUGAUAUGGAAUGACUGUGGUUUCCCCUGAAAGAAGCAUCACUGAUCUCUGCACAGGAGAAACAAGGGUGUGUUAGGAGUUACAUCCACUAACCUCUGGGGCUAGAAUGUUCCUCCUAAUCCCGGAUUACCAGCUUACAACCCCAAUGCCCACUUUCUCAAACAAGCCUCGUCUUUUUAAAGGUAAAUACCAUAUUUAUUUUAAUCUUGCUCUGUCACCUAGGCUGGAGUGCAAUGGCACACUCACGGCUCACUGCAGCGUCAAACUCCCAGGCUCAAGUGUUCCUCCUACCUCAGCCUCCUGAGUAGCUAGGACCACAGGACAGGCCCAGACACAAAGCAGAUGUGCAGUGGAGUGUGAAAGAGGCAGCCAACUCACUGGGGAGCUUCAGAGGGAGAUGGCCCAAAUUGCUGGGGCCUAAGAAUCUCCCGGAAUGAAGGAACAGUAGAAAGAACUGGGAGCCAAAUAUGGUGAUAGAGACUCUCAUCAAGGACACUGAGUAAACCAGAAACCUGCUUGGGCUCACGUUCCUUGUCUGUUCUUCUCAGAUCCAGGAAAGGAGCUGUCCAGGACAAUGAGGAUAGGCUGAGGAAAGACAGGCCACGGCCUUGCCUCUGUGCCAGCUCUCAUGGGCCAGGCAGAGUAUCCCAGGACAACUGCCUCCACAACCAGCUCCAUCCUUCAUCAGCAAUUCAGUACCUGAUUAACAAAUCUGUACCCCAGGAGGUUAUGCCAAGUCCAACUUCUUCCAGAGACCACAACAAUAAAUCCAAGCCACUGCUAAUGUCAUUUAUAAGCUGUGGGAUUAAAACAGAGAAGCAAUCAAUUAAUUAAAAUUAGCUCUUUAUUGAAAC
rnacentral:lncRNA from 1 species